rnacentral:tRNA from 1 species
GAGGGUGUAGCUCAGUGGUAGAAUGUGUGCUCAGCAUGCACGAGGUCCUGGGUUCAAUCCCCAGUGCCUCUG